rnacentral:rRNA from 1 species
AUUGAACGCUGGCGGCAUGCCUUACACAUGCAAGUCGAACGGCAGCACGGGUGCUUGCACCUGGUGGCGAGUGGCGAACGGGUGAGUAAUACAUCGGAACAUGUCCCGUAGUGGGGGAUAGCCCGGCGAAAGCCGGAUUAAUACCGCAUACGAUCUACGGCUGAAAGCGGGGGACCUUCGGGCCUCGCGCUUUAGGGUUGGCCGAUGGCUGAUUAGCUAGUUGGUGGGGUAAAGGCCUACCAAGGCGACGAUCAGUAGCUGGUCUGAGAGGACGACCAGCCACACUGGAACUGAGACACGGCCCAGACUCCUACGGGAGGCAGCAGUGGGGAAUUUUGGACAAUGGGCGAAAGCCUGAUCCAGCAAUGCCGCGUGUGUGAAGAAGGCCUUCGGGUUGUAAAGCACUUUUGUCCGGAAAGAAAACCUUGGCCCUAAUACGGUCGGGGGAUGACGGUACCGGAAGAAUAAGCACCGGCUAACUACGUG